rnacentral:rRNA from 1 species
UACGGAGGGUGCAAGCGUUAUCCGGAUUCACUGGGUUUAAAGGGUGCGUAGGUGGGCAGGUAAGUCAGUGGUGAAAUCUCCGGGCUUAACCCGGAAACUGCCGUUGAUACUAUUUGUCUUGAAUAUAGUGGAGGUGAGCGGAAUAUGUCAUGUAGCGGUGAAAUGCUUAGAUAUGACAUAGAACACCAAUUGCGAAGACAGCUUGCUACACUAUUAUUGACACUGAGGCACGAAAGCGUGGGGAUCAAACAGG